CUAGCUCCGGCGAAGCCGACCCCGCGCGCCGCAGGUAAGCAGGCAGGCAGGCAGCAUCAAGCAUGGCGGACACGAGGGCGGCGCCCGCGGUGACGCUCCGCACGCGCAAGUUCAUGACCAACCGCCUCCUCUCCCGGAAGCAGUUCGUGCUCGAGGUCCUCCACCCCGGCCGCGCCAACGUCUCCAAGGUCAGUGCCCUGCGCUCGCCGGGACCUUUGCUCUCCGAGGUCUCUCGUUUGGGCAAGGCGGAGCUUCGGCGAGGCUGACGCGUGCGAUCCGUUGGCAUUGCAGGCGGACCUCAAGGACAAGCUGGCCAAGGUGUACGAGGUCAAGGACCCCAACUGCAUCUUCGUCUUCAAGUUCCGCACCCACUUCGGAGGCGGCAAGUCCACGGGGUUCGGCC
rnacentral:lncRNA from 1 species